AUUUUCUUUUAUAAUUUCGAAAUACAUAUUUAAAUAACCCUAAAAUUCAUAAUGUUUAAACCAAAACUAUUUAUAAAAAUAUUUAUUUUUGGGACUAAUAAUUAUAUUAUUAAUUUACUAGGAUUUUCAUUUAACAAGAAAUGUUAUUCAAUGACUAAAAUCAAUCAUAAGCAUCCAAAAAUUAUUACAAAUGAAAUAAAUAACAAACACUUAAAAGAAAAUUAAUUACCAUAAAUAUCAUUAAUAACUAAAUGUAUUAUUUUUAUUUGAUGACUUUUAUAGUGUUACAGUAGGGUUGAACUAUUGCAGGCAGAAGAGGAACGGAACGAGAAGGGGCACAGGAGAGACGAGGGGACAACUCGGUAUUUUGGCUUUGGGGGCAAGCGAAGGAAAAAAUUGAAAGGGUGAGAAAGGUUCGUUUUCUUGACUGCCCCCGAUGCCUGCAGUAUUUUCUGAAUACUCGGAUUACCGGUGUUGUUUACUGAAUAGCCUCACAUACCAGUGCUAUUUUCUGAAUUCUCCCCACUUUUUCCAGGAUAAGAAAUCCAUACACAUGCUACUUGAGUUAGCUAUUUAGUUGUUUCACAGAGAGCCUUUGUCUUCCUCUUCCUUUUAAACUAGACUAGAAGAAUACCCCCUCCG
rnacentral:lncRNA from 7 species